UAGAGUCUGAACGGCUCCGGGAUCACGAUCGACUCAUGUUUAGCUCGUAUUUUCUUUUUUUCUGCGCAGCCCGGCUUCGUCCUUUCCAACUCUUCUACUUCCCAGGCUUUUUCAGCCGGAGAGAGGAAUUGAGGGGCGUAGGUGAACGUGGGUUUGAAUGAAGAAGCGGUGGAGGUUGUGAAGAUGUCCUGCCGAGGGCAGCCCCAGGACUGGACUCAGGAUGUCACCCCCGUCUGCCUCGACUUCUUCGCUGACCCGGUCUGACCGGAGGGCGGUCACAACUUUUGCUGCGCGUGUAUCACGGGGAACUGGGAACGGGAGGCGAGAAACUCCUGCCCGGAGUGCAGACGGGAAUUCCCGCGGAAGAAGCUCACGGUGAACCGGGCCUUAGCGAAUCUGGCGGAGAGGGCGAGAAAACUCAGCCCGGAGUCGAAAUUGAGGGACGUGAAGCUCCUGAUGUGAGGAGCAUCAGGAGGAGGUGAAGCUGCUGUUCUGUGAAACUGACAUGAAACUGAUCUGUUACAUUUGUAGAGAUUCGCGCGGACACAAAUCUCACAGUUUCAUGCCCAUCAAAGAAGCGGUGGAAAUGUACAAGGAGCAGCUGAAAUCUUAUUUACAAUCUCUGACUGAAGAAAGACCGCUCUUUCUAGACUCAGAAGUGAAGCAGAUCCGCCAGAUUUCUGAAGUUAAGGUGUGUUAACCCUCCCCACUCCCUUCUGGGUGUCCUACUCCCUCUAUCGCGGUACAGUACAUGAUCUUUGUUCUCCUCCACCUCCCCCCACCCCCCAUUUCCUUUGGUAGGAACAGGCGAACUGUCUGCAGUUGCACAUCACAUCCCAGUUCGCUAAAAUGCACCAGGUUCUCGCUGAGAAAAAGCAGCCUUUGCUCAGAGAGCUCAGGAGGGAAGAGGAGAGGAUUCUCGACACGAUGGGGAAGAACCUUGGAGAGAUUCAGGAGAAUUUAAAUUCAGUCCAGGAGGAGGUUACAAAGAUGCAGGAACAGAUGGAGCAGUGAGAUGGAGUGACAUUUCUGAAGGACGAGUGACGACUACAAGGAAGUGCCACUGGCAGAAGAGAAGCUCUCCCUGGGACAGUUCAAUGGUCCUUUGCAGUACACAGCUUGGAGAGGAAUGUUAGACACCAUUAAGCCUGUUCCAGCCUCUCUCACUCUGGAUCCGAACACAGCAAAUCGUUGGCUCGUUGUGUCUCAGGAUGGGACCAGUGUGAGACUCGGUGGGAAGCCUCAGCGUCUGCCUGUGCGUGCUGGCAUC